AUGAUUUUCGAUGAAUUAUGUGAUGGAAGCUCCAAUUUAGGAGUGCGGAUUCUUUAGUAAGCCUUUGGGAUAUCUCAGACAUGCUUUGUUUGAGAACAUUUACCAAACUCGAGUGGCCCGUGAGAACAAUAAGCUUCAACUAUUCGGGAGAGUAUAUUGCUUCAGCCAGUGAGGAUUCAUUUAUCGAUAUUGUAAGUCAUCGCCAUACUUAAAAACUGAUAGUUACUAUGUUGUUUCCUCAACGUGAGAUUAAU
rnacentral:misc_RNA from 1 species